CCUGGUUGAUCCUGCCAGUAGCAUAUGCUUGUCUCAAAGAUUAAGCCAUGCAUGUCUAAGUACAAGCCGCUAUGCGGCGAAACCGCGAAUGGCUCAUUAAAUCAGUUAUGGUUCCUUAGAUCGUACCAUCCUACUUGGAUAACUGUGGUAAUUCUAGAGCUAAUACAUGCAAAGAAGCCCCGACCUCACGGGAGGGGUGCUUUUAUUAGAUCAAAACCAAUCGGGCUUCGGCCCGUCCACUUGGUGACUCUGAAUAACUUUGAGCUGAUCGCACGGUCUCGAACCGGCGACGCAUCUUUCAAAUGUCUGCCUUAUCAACUGUCGAUGGUAGGUUAUGCGCCUACCAUGGUUGCAACGGGUAACGGGGAAUCAGGGUUCGAUUCCGGAGAGGGAGCCUGAGAAACGGCUACCACAUCCAAGGAAGGCAGCAGGCGCGCAAAUUACCCACUCCCGGCACGGGGAGGUAGUGACGAAAAAUAACGAUACGGGACUCUUCCGAGGCCCCGUGAUUGGAAUGAGUACACUUUAAAUCCUUUAACGAGGACCUAUUGGAGGGCAAGUCUGGUGCCAGCAGCCGCGGUAACUCCAGCUCCAAUAGCGUAUAUUAAAGUUGUUGCGGUUAAAAAGCUCGUAGUUGGAUUCCGGUCUCGGCCGGGUGGUGCCGCCUUUCACGGUGUUCGCACUGCCCAGGCCGGACAAUCAACCGGACUCUAUCCGGGGUGCUCUUAACCGGGUGUCCCGGGUGGCCGGUACGUUUACUUUGAACAAAUUAGAGUGCUCAAAGCAGGUGCAUCGCGCCUGAAUAUCACAGCAUGGAAUGAUGGAAUAGGACCUCGGUCUUAUUUUGUUGGUUUUCUGGACCCGAGGUAAUGGUUAAUAGAGACAGACGGGGGCAUUCGUACUGCGACGCUAGAGGUGAAAUUCUUGGACCGUCGCAAGACGAACAACUGCGAAAGCAUUUGCCAAGAAUGUUUUCAUUAAUCAAGAACGAAAGUUAGAGGUUCGAAGGCGAUCAGAUACCGCCCUAGUUCUAACCAUAAACGAUGCCAACCAGCGAUCCGCCGAAGUUACUCCCAUGACUCGGCGGGCAGCUUCCGGGAAACCAAAGUUUUUGGGUUCCGGGGGAAGUAUGGUUGCAAAGCUGAAACUUAAAGGAAUUGACGGAAGGGCACCACCAGGAGUGGAGCCUGCGGCUUAAUUUGACUCAACACGGGAAACCUCACCAGGCCCGGACACUGGAAGGAUUGACAGAUUGAGAGCUCUUUCUUGAUUCGGUGGGUGGUGGUGCAUGGCCGUUCUUAGUUGGUGGAGCGAUUUGUCUGGUUAAUUCCGAUAACGAACGAGACUCUAGCCUGCUAAAUAGGUGGCGGGUCCUACCCGUCCGUCACUCUUCUUAGAGGGACAAGCGGCGUCCAGCCGCAUGACAGUGAGCAAUAACAGGUCUGUGAUGCCCUUAGAUGUCCUGGGCUGCACGCGCGCUACACUGAAGGAAUCAGCGUGUCUUCCCUGUCCGAGAGGACCGGGUAACCGCUGAACCUCCUUCGUGGUUGGGAUUGGGGACUGAAAUGAUCCCCAUGAACCAGGAAUCCCUAGUAGGCGCAAGUCACUAGCUUGCGUCGAUUACGUCCCUGCCCUUUGUACACACCGCCCGUCGCUACUACCGAUUGAAUGAUUUAGUGAGAACUUCGGACGGACUUGUCGGGCGGACUUCGGCUCUGCUUCGGCGAGACUGAAAGAUGUUCAAACUUGAUCCUUUAGAGGAAGUAAAAGUCGUAACAAGGUUUCCGUAGGUGAACCUGCGGAAGGAUCAUUA
rnacentral:rRNA from 1 species